rnacentral:rRNA from 1 species
CGAGACCUUCGGGUCUAGUGGCGCACGGGUGCGUAACGCGUGGGAACCUGCCUUUAGGUUCGGAAUAACUCAGAGAAAUUUGAGCUAAUACCGGAUAAUGUCUUCGGACCAAAGAUUUAUCGCCUUUAGAUGGGCCCGCGUUGGAUUAGCUAGUUGGUGGGGUAAAGGCCUACCAAGGCGACGAUCCAUAGCUGGUCUGAGAGGAUGAUCAGCCACACUGGGACUGAGACACGGCCCAGACUCCUACGGGAGGCAGCAGUGGGGAAUAUUGGACAAUGGGCGAAAGCCUGAUCCAGCAAUGCCGCGUGAGUGAUGAAGGCCUUAGGGUUGUAAAGCUCUUUUACCCGAGAUGAUAAUGACAGUAUCGGGAGAAUAAGCUCCGGCUAACUCCGUGCCAGCAGCCGCGGUAAUACGGAGGGAGCUAGCGUUGUUCGGAAUUACUGGGCGUAAAGCGCACGUAGGCGGCUUUUUAAGUCAGGGGUGAAAUCCCGGGGCUCAACCCCGGAACUGCCCUUG